CAGUAGCCACGGUAAGACGGAGGGUGCUAGCGUUGUUCGGAAUCACUGGGCGUAAAGGGCGCGUAGGCGGCCUGUUAAGUCGGAUGUGAAAGCCCGGGGCUCAACCCCGGAACUGCAUCCGAGACUGGCAGGCUUGAGACCGGGAGAGGAGGGUGGAAUAUCCAGUGUAGAGGUGAAAUUCGUAGAUAUUGGAUGGAACACCGGUGGCGAAAGCGGCUCUCUGGCCCGGAUCUGACGCUGAGGCGCGAAAGCGUGGGGAGCAAACAGGAUUAGAUACCCCCGUAGUCCCUGUCUCUUAUAU
rnacentral:rRNA from 1 species